rnacentral:rRNA from 1 species
GACGAACGCUGGCGGCGUGCUUAACACAUGCCAGUCGAACGGAAAGGCCCUGCUUUUGUGGGGUGCUCGAGUGGCGAACGGGUGAGUAACACGUGAGUAACCUGCCCUUGACUUUGGGAUAACUUCAGGAAACUGGGGCUAAUACCGGAUAGGAGCUCCUGCUGCAUGGUGGGGGUUGGAAAGUUUCGGCGGUUGGGGAUGGACUCGCGGCUUAUCAGCUUGUUGGUGGGGUAGUGGCUUACCAAGGCUUUGACGGGUAGCCGGCCUGAGAGGGUGACCGGCCACAUUGGGACUGAGAUACGGCCCAGACUCCUACGGGAGGCAGCAGUGGGGAAUAUUGCACAAUGGGCGGAAGCCUGAUGCAGCAACGCCGCGUGUGGGAUGACGGCCUUCGGGUUGUAAACCGCUUUCGCCUGUGACGAAGCGUGAGUGACGGUAAUGGGUAAAGAAGCACCGGCUAACUAC